AUUGAACGCUGGCGGCAUGCUUUACACAUGCAAGUCGGACGAGUGGCGAACGGGUGAGUAACGCAUCGGAACGUACCGAGUAAUGGGGGAUAACUGUCCGAAAGGACAGCUAAUACCGCAUAUUAUUCGAGCGGCCGAUGUCUGAUUAGCUGGUUGGCUGGGUAAAGGCCCACCAAGGCGACGAUCAGUAGCGGGUGUGAGUGGAGGAUCCGCCACACUAGGACUGAGACACGGCCCAGACUCUGACGGGAGGCAGCAGUGGGGAAUUGUGGGCAAGGGGCGCAAGGCUGAUCAAGACAAGCCGCGUGGCUGAAGAAGGCCUUGGGGUUGUAAAGGAAUUUUGUCAGGGAAGCGGUACCUGAAGAAUAAGCACCGGCUAACUACGUGCCAGCAGCCGCGGUAAUAC
rnacentral:rRNA from 1 species